CUUGUGUUUCCUUAUUAAUUUUCUGUCUGGAUGAUCUGUCCAUUGGUGUAAGUGAGUUGUUAAAGUCCCGCACUAUUAUUGUGUUACUGUCGAUUUCCUGUUUUAUAGCUGUUAGCAGUUGCCUAUGUAUUGAGGUGCUCCUAUGUUGGGUGCAUAUAUAUUUAUAAUUGUUAUAUCUUCUUCUUGGAUUGAUCCCUUGAUUAUUAUGUAGUGUCCUUCCUUGUUUCUUAUAACAUUCUUUAUUUUAAAGUCUAUUUUAUCUGAUAUGAGUAUAGCUACUCCAGCUUUCUUUUGAUUUCCAUUUGCAUGGAAUAUUUUUUUCCAUCCUCACUUUCAGUAUGUAUGUGUCCCUAGGUCUGAAGUGGGUCUCUUGUAGACAGAAUAUAUAUGGGUCUUGAUUUUGUAUCCAUUCAGCAAGCCUGUGUCUUUUGGUUGGAGCAUUUAAUCCAUUCAUGUUUAAGGUAAUUAUCAAUAUGUAUGUUCCUAUGACCAUUUUCUUAAUUAUUUUGGGUUCAUUUUUGUAGAUCCUUUUCUUCUCUUGUGUUUCCCACUUAGAGAAGUUCCUUUAGCAUUUGUUGUAGAGCUGGUUUGGUGGCGCUGAAUUCUCUUAGCUUUUGCUUGUCUAUAAAGCUUUUGAUUUCUCCCUUGAAUCUGAAUGAGAUCCUUGCUGGGUAGAGUAAUCUUGGUUGUAGUUUCUUCCCUUUCAUCACUUUAAGUAUAUCUUGCCACUGCCUUCUGGCUUGUAGAGUUUCUGCUGAGAAAUCAGCUGUUAACCUUAUGGGGUUCCCUUGUAUGUUAUUUGUCGUUUUUCCCUUGCUGUUUUCAAUAAUUUUUCUUUGUCUUUAAUUUUUGUCAGUUUGAUUACUAUGUGUCUCAGCAUGUUUCUCCUUGGGUUUAUCCUGUAUGGGACUCGCUGCGCUUCCUGGACUUGGGUGGCUAUUUCCUUUCCCAUGUUAGGGAAGUUUUCGACUAUAAUCUCUUCAAAUAUUUUCUCAGGUCCUUUCUCUCUCUCUUCUCCUUCUGGGACCCCUAUAAUGCGAAUGUUGUUGCGUUUAAUGUCCCAGAUGUCUCUUAAGCUGUCUUC